rnacentral:rRNA from 1 species
UACAGAGGGUGCGAGCGUUAAUCGGAAUUACUGGGCGUAAAGCGUGCGCAGACGGUCAUGUAAGUCGGGUGUGAAAGCCCCGGGCUCAACCUGGGAAUUGCAUUCGAGACUGCAUGGCUAGGGUGCGGAAGAGGGAAGCGGAAUUUCCGGUGUAGCGGUGAAAUGCGUAGAUAUCGGAAGGAACACCAGUGGCGAAAGCGGCUUCCUGGUCCAGCACCGACGUUCAGGCACGAAAGCGUGGGGAUCAAACAGG